ACAGAAGAUCUCUGUCACAGAGCAGGUUCCAAGAGGAUUUUUUUAAUGAAAGAAGUGUUUUCACUUCCUAAUCACUCUGCAGUCACUUAUUGACUAAAGAACUUCAGACUAUGUAGACUUUAGAGGACUGAUACGAAGACUCACAGAAAAGUUUUCACAAGACCUGAAGUAUGAAUUGUAAUGAGAACAUAAAUAGUUCCUUUCCAAAGUGCACACAGAGGGAAAAAAGAUCAUGUGUCUCGGCAUCAAUCAAGACAAGUAACACUUUUUUACAUCUCAACAGCGAUCUGUCUAAGCUCUGCUUUACAUGUAUUCCUUUGAAGACUAUGGAAUUUGGARGUUUCAAAAUCAGAGUAAAAAUCUGUCUAUUAAACUGUCAGCCUCCUCUCAAAAAAUAAGGAGCUUAUUUUCGCUAGACACUGCACUCACUUUUUUGAAUUAAGUUUUAGAAGAAGAAAUUCACA